rnacentral:tRNA from 1 species
AUCUUGAUAGCUUAGUUAGAGCGUUACAUUGAAGCUGUAGAGGCAGUUAAACUUCGGGGUA